rnacentral:lncRNA from 1 species
UCUACUUUGCUUGGAUUCUUCUCAGUUAAAACUAAGGCUGUAUCCGGUUCCGGUUCUGGGUCUAUUUGGGUCUGCGGUUCCGGUUCUGCGGUUCUGGUGGUUCUGGCGGUUCCGGUUCUGGCGGUUCCGGAGCCGGAACCGCCCGGUUUCGGUUCUGGCGGUUCCAGAACCGCGGUUCUAGCGGUUCCAGGCGGUUCCCGGCGGUUCCGAGUUAUUUUAUUUUAUUUUUUUAAAUCAAUAUCUUGUAUAGUAGUGAUUAGUAUAUUGUAGAAUAUAUUUUUAUAUG